GAAAAAGGAAAAAAAAAAAAAAAAGAAAGAAAAAAAAAAAAGGAAAAAAAAAAAUCAAGAAAAGAGAAGAAAAGAAAAGAAAAGAAAAAGAGAAGAAGAAAAAACCUUUCUUUGUAAAAAUGACAAUCUUCAAGAUUUGACCAUGAUAUUGGAAAACUGAACAUAAAAUUUCAACAUUUACAGGAUAAAAACAAUCCAGAAUUGUUACAUGGACAAUAGCUCCUCCAGUUGUAACCUGAAGAAAAAGGGAGGGAGAAAGAAAAAAGAAAAAAAGAAAAAAAAGAAAAAAAAGAAAAAAAAGAAAAAAAAAGAAAAAAGAAGAAAAAAAAAUCAAAAUCAAUAAUAUCCUAAUCU
rnacentral:rRNA from 1 species